CACUGAGGAGGUGUGUCCUAGUAGGAAGACCACUGUUAACACUGAGGAGGUGUGUCCUAGUAGGAAGACCACUGUUAACACUGAGGUGGUGUGUCCUAGUAGGAAGACCACUGUUAACACUGAGGAGGUGUGUCCUAGUAGGAAGACCACUGUUAACACUGAGGAGGUGUGUCCCAGUAGGAAGACCACUGUUAACACUGAGGAGGUGUGUCCUAGUAGGAAGACCACUGUUAACACUGAGGAGGUGUGUCCUAGUAGGAAGACCACUGUUAACACUAAGGAGGUGUGUCCUAGUAGGAAGACCACUGAGGUGGUGUGUCCUAGUAGGAAGACCACUGAGGAGGUGUGUCCUAGUAGGAAGACCACUGUUAAAACUGAGGAGGUGUGUCCUAGUAGGAAGACCACUGAGGUGGUGUGUCC
ensembl:lncRNA